CACCGAUGUGACUUAUCAGACAAUUCCCUGAUCUUUGCUUCGUUUUGGAAUGUGCAGCCAGCCUCAGGAGAAGCCAGCAGAUUCUUCCCAGCUCCUGAUAACCAUCAAUUCUCAUGAUGAUAACAUAUGUGAAAUGAUUUCAGGAACUGCAAAGUACCAUACACAUAAGUGACCUGGAAUUGCCAACUUACUGAAUCAAAAUUUAUGAGAGAGGCCUCGCCAACAUGGCUCAGUGACUGAGCGUCG